AGAGUUUGAUCCUGGCUCAGGCACGAACGCUGGCGGCGUGCCUAAUACAUGCAAGUCGAGCGAGCGGAACUAACAGAUUUACUUCGGUAAUGACGUUAGGAAAGCGAGCGGCGGAUGGGUGAGUAACACGUGGGGAACCUGCCCCAUAGUCUGGGAUACCACUUGGAAACAGGUGCUAAUACCGGAUAAGAAAGCAGAUCGCAUGAUCAGCUUUUAAAAGGCGGCGUAAGCUGUCGCUAUGGGAUGGCCCCGCGGUGCAUUAGCUAGUUGGUAAGGUAAAGGCUUACCAAGGCGAUGAUGCAUAGCCGAGUUGAGAGACUGAUCGGCCACAUUGGGACUGAGACACGGCCCAAACUCCUACGGGAGGCAGCAGUAGGGAAUCUUCCACAAUGGACGCAAGUCUGAUGGAGCAACGCCGCGUGAGUGAAGAAGGUUUUCGGAUCGUAAAGCUCUGUUGUUGGUGAAGAAGGAUAGAGGUAGUAACUGGCCUUUAUUUGACGGUAAUCAACCAGAAAGUCACGGCUAACUACGUGCCAGCAGCCGCGGUAAUACGUANGUGGCAAGCGUUGUCCGGAUUUAUUGGGCGUAAANNGAGCGCAGGCGGAAGAAUAAGUCUGAUGUGAAAGCCCUCGGCUUAACCGAGGAACUGC
rnacentral:rRNA from 1 species